CAGGCUAGGAAGGAGGUCUGCUGUGUGAAAAGCUGAGACAAAGCUAGGAAAGGCAGCCAGACUAGCUAAGGGGGAGAUGGGUUUCAAGGGGCUGGGGCAUAGCCAGAGUGCAAAAGGACCAGGAGGAGCAAACCUGUGAGCAGCUGUCUGGAUGUACUGGAGCUUAGAUCCAGACCUAAAGACCAUGCUGGAGAUCAUGCCUUCUGCUUGAAUCCACAGUCUCCUCAGUGGCAGGGUACUGACGCAAGUUACUCCUCUCUUUUACUCCCUGCUUGCUGCAAUGUCUUCAUGCUACAAACCACCAAUACUCCACUUAUCUACAUGAAAGCUGCAAAACAGACCAUGCAGUGGCUGUUGGAACAUGCUGAGGAGCCUGAUAUCAUGGCACAGGACGAAUGUGAAUUGAAAACUUCCUCAAGGUGGCAGUGAGGGCCCAGAACUAUUGGCCUAAUGUGAUGGUUGUUAAAACAUGGAAGUGUUCUCUCAUGAAACCACAAGCCAUUUUCCUUGCUGGAAGGACUGGAAUUAGAUGUGAUGGAAGGCUGGGAAUUUCUACCAAACCACUGUGAGAAGCUGAAUGAGGCUCCUUCAAGUACUCCUUCAAAUAGCAAGAGGGAGACCAAUUCCAACAUCAGCGAAACAUUCAGAGAAAGAAACUGACCUCCCUAGCGUUUCCCAAAGUGUAACUUAAAAUGUCUUUUCUGCAAAUUAUAUAUGAUUUAUUUUUGUCCUUCUCUCAGUGGCCGUGGAGAACAAAUGGUGACUGUCCUCUUUAAAGCAGUUGUUUACAUAUUGAAAAACUCAUACUUUUCCCCUUAGUCUUUCUUCUCUAGACUAAACAAACCCAAUUCCUUCAAUCUUUCCUCAUAGGUCAUGUUUUCUAAACCUCUUAUCAUUCCUGUUGCUCUCUUCUGGACACUCUCCAAUUUGUCUACAUCCUCAAUUCUGCUGGGCCAUGUUUGGUCAUGGCUGACAAUCUGUCCCCAGGAAAAAUGUCACACUUCUGGCUGAGAUGUUAGAGGUCUGUUUCCAGAUUCCGCAUAUUUUCAUGGUAAGCAUUUUACAUAUACAUUAGCAUUACAGCUUCUGUUAAUA
rnacentral:lncRNA from 1 species